GUGCUCACUUUGGCAGCACAUAUACUAAAACUGGAAUGUUAAAGAGAAGAUUAGCAUGGUCCCUGCACAAGGAUAACACGCAAAUUCGUAGUGUUCCAUAUUUUU